rnacentral:lncRNA from 1 species
UCGUAUUCGGCUGCCUUUCAGUUUUCAGGCUGCCUGCCUGCAUGUGCAUGCCGCCUGUGCACCGGCCCUACCACUGGCGGAGCCACCGUCCGGCCAUCCGGGCGGCCGGCCGGGCUCCACAUCAAAUUAUAAAAGAAAUCUUCUUUAUAUUUAUAUAAAAUUUUAUGAUUUUAUAGUUAAAUAUUCUGGACCCUACUACCGGGCGCGCAGAAAGCGGCUGUCCGUGUCGACGCUUGCCGCUUGGCCUGUGCCAAGGGCAACUUGGCCGCGUCUGUUCGUGCAGGAAAGGAACCGUGCUGAUUUUAUGAUAUGCUGUAUAUAGGUUACGAUCAGGGCUCGGCAGGCGAAGGCGUAGAGUGAUGAUAACCUUGUGCAGUUAUUAUGGAACUUGUUUCAUUUUCAAGGUGUACCGAGAAGAAUCCAGCGAGAGAGGGCGUUCAGGAAGAAAAAAACAAUUCCGAAAAAAAAAAGAAAAAAUCGCUGAUCCUGAGCUCGUGAGGUACAGAAGUUUACAAGUCCAGACGUGUGCUGACUCCAAUCAUCAGUACAGUAGUUUUACGUGCGUGACACAGACACGGACUCUCUCCAGUGUACUACUGCUACUAUAACUCAAUCAUCACGGAAUACAACGAUCUUGGGCCAAUGAUCACAGAGGUUACGUGGUAUGCAACGUGAUUACGUGAGAGAUCGUACGCCGCUCGAAACUCCCCCGUUCACGAACGGAGAGAUGCAAUGAUUUUCUUGCACGGAGAAGCAGAACCAACGACGCGCCCGCGCCCGCCGCGCCUCCCCCGGCCCGCGCUGACCGGUCGGUGCGCCGAAGAACACGGGCCAGGCUGUGCCCGAUCACAAUAAUGUGUGCUGAUCCACACAGCAGACAGCACGGGAAGAUCUAGGCCUUGUUUAGUUCCGAAAAUUUUUGCAAAAUCGACACUGUAGCACUUUCAUUUGUAUUCGACAAAUAUUGUCUAAUCAUAGACUAACUAGGCUUCAAAGAUUCGUUUCGUCAAUUCUGACCAAACCG